rnacentral:lncRNA from 1 species
CAUGGUGAAUUAAAUUUCUUGGUGCUCCCAAUUUUGAUAUAAUAAACAUAUUUAUUUACUUAUUUUUUUAUGAAUUUUUAUUUCAAUUAAAGGCAUAUGCAUGAGACACAAUCUACUAAAAAUUAUGAAUAUAAUAUUUCUUAAUCUCUUUCUUUCAAAUACUUUACUAUAACCAUAUGAUGGUAUUUUCUUUUUUUAUAAGACCUUACAAUACCUCCGGAGCUAAUGAAACUAUUUUAGUAAAAUUUAACUGUCUCAAUUCACGGGCAAUUGCACCAAAAAUUCGAGUUCCUUUGGGGUUUCCUUCUUGGUCAAUGACAACCGCAGCAUUGUCAUCAUAUCGUAUUAUCAUACCGUUAUCACGUUUGAGUUCUUUACAAGUACGUACAAUUACAGCUCUGACCACCUCUGAUCUUGCUAGGGGCAUAUUUGGCACUGCUUCUUUGAUCACAGCAACAAUAACGUCACCGAUAUGAGCAUAUCGACGAUUGCUAGCUCCUAUGAUUCGAAUACACAUCAAUUCUCGAGCCCCGCUGUUAUCUGCUACAUUCAAAAGGGUCUGGGGUUGAAUCAUAUAAUUUUGUUAGAAUCUAUUCUUUCAAUGCAAAAGAAAGAGUGAACAAAAAAAAAAAAAGAAAUAUUGUUUGUCCAAAGAAACAAACCGGCACCCGCGAUUUUUUUUAUCCCGAAAUAAUAAAUUGAGUUCGUAUAGGCAUUUUGGAGGAUGCUAUUGAAAUCGCUCUUCUGGCUAUAUUUUCUGUUACUCCACCCAUUUCAUAAAGUAUUCGACCUGGUUUAACAACAGCUACCCAAUAUUCAGGGGAUCCUUUCCCCGAACCCAUACGUGUUUCUGCGGGUCUUACUGUAACCGGUUUGUCUGGAAAUAUACGUACCCAAAUUUUUCCACCGCGACGUGCAUUUCGUGUCAUUGCCCGUCUACCUGCUUCUAUUUGUCUAGACGUGAUCCAAGCGGGUUCAAGUGCCUGAAGAGCAUAUUUACCAAAAGAAAUAUGAUUACCUCGAUAAGAUAUUCCCUUCAUUCUUCCUCUAUGUUGUUUACGGAAUCUGGUUCUUUUGGGGUUAUAGUUGAUGGUUGGUUCUGAAUUCCAUCUCUACUACAGAACUGGACAUGAGAGUUUCUUCUCAUCCAGCUCCUCGCGAAUAAUCAAAUUUUCAAAAUGUCUAUUAUCAUUUGUAUAUCUUGCUUUUUUAGCUAACUAAACAUAUUAAUUUUUUUUUUAUUUUAAUAUAGUAUUAUUAUUUUAUUUUUUUCUUUUUAUCCUAUUGGAUUGAGCAAAAAUUAUCAAUCCAAGAAGAUAAAGUUUUCACGGGCGAAUAUUGACUCUUUUCGUCGCUAUUUUAGUUGUAGGGUUAACUCAUGACUUUUCUUUUCCCAAUAGAUGAAAGAACUAGUCUCUGGUUUGUUUCGCCAUCCCGAUCAAUGAGUCUUAUUUCAAUAGAUUUGAAUUCACAGGUUCCAUCGUUCCCAUCGCUUCUUACUUAAUGGUUAGGUCUUAUUUCUACAAUGGAGCUCAUAAUUAAAUUUUUUCUUGAGCCGAUUUUCUUAGUCUUUAUUGGCUUGAAGCUCUUAUUUUUUUUGGGAUUCGUUUUGUUUUUUAUGAAUCCAUAUUGAUUGAUGCUUUAUAUUACAUUGCUUUUUUAUGAGACUUUAUGAGAUGACUCAUAAACCUUACAUAUUGGAUGGAAUUUUAUAUCGUUGUUUUUUCUCCCCUUCUUUCACCCUCCCGUUUAUCCACAUCUUUCUUCUUCUCUUCACAACUUAGAAUCAUAUUUUUUCUUUUGUUUAUGCAAAAAAGAUUUCAGUUGCUACAGUGAUAUGACUGAUAUAUCAUAUCUUGACUGUUUUUUGGAUCCAGAUAAUGUGAAGUGAUGAGUUGGUUAUUAGUUCUAUAGUUAUAGUUAUUUGUUUAUACAAAAAAGCUGGUCUUUUUUUUUUUUCUUUAAUCCUAACCCUAAAAAACCAACGAGUCGCACACUAAGCAUAGCGAUUAUUUCAAAAGGUCAAUCGAAUUUUUAUUGAACCUCAUAGAAUUAGAAUAGUUCAUUUUGGUUUUGUUUUGAUUGAACAUAAAAAAGUAACUAUUUUUUUGUUCUAGUACUGGAUCGAAGGGAAAGACAAGUAAAGUUUUAUUAU